UACAGAGGGACCAAGCGUUGUUCGGAUUUACUGGGCGUAAAGCGUGCGUAGGAGGCUAGGAAAGUCUGAUGUGAAAUGUCACCGCUCAACGGUGAAAGUGCAUUGGAAACUAUUUGGCUAGAGGAUUGGAGAGGAAAGCGGAAUUCCAGGUGUAGCGGUGAAAUGCGUAGAUAUCUGGAGGAACACCAACGGCGAAGGCAGCUUUCUGGACAAUUCCUGACUCUGAGGCACGAAGGCUAGGGGAGCGAACGGG
rnacentral:rRNA from 1 species